UUUCAGGAACGUUUUUGGAAAGGGAGUCGAACAGCGGACCAGGUCAGAGUCCUUCCAUCAUUGCCAUGAUUAUCACUUUAUCACUGGGAUCCUCAACUUCCAAUACAGCCUGAUUGAAUCGUUUCACGAAAUCUUUCAAGCUCUCGGCCUCUUUUUGGUGAACGGUGAACAGGUGGGAAGCAUUCUUCUGUCGGUUUCUGCAGCUCAUAAAAUUGGCGACAAAGAGUCGGCUAAGCUCGCCAAAAGAGUCUAUGGUUCCUGGCGAUAGUUUUCGAAACCACGACCUGGCCGGUCCUUUCAAAUUGGCAGAGAACGCUUU
rnacentral:lncRNA from 1 species